CUGAUUUGUCACACAUGUUCCCAUUCAUUGGUCCAGUGCCCUGGCAGAACCAGAGAUUCUGAACUUGUCCGGAAAAGGUUUCAUAAUUCAUCGUGCAUACCACUCGGCUUGGCUCCAAGAGCAGUGGCCUGUUCCAAGUGCAUGCUCUCAGACAUUCACGGUUGACUAAAGGGACCAGAUUUUUGAUAAACUAAUGUAGGACAAAGGGAAAGAGCCUGAUUGCAUAGAGCCUGAGGCUGAGACAGAGGAGGGGGAGAGAGAGGGUGGGGAGUGAGGCUGCAGCGCAAGGAGAAUUGGGGCUCCUCUUAAUGGGAGUCCUAGGAGACAGAUGUGUGACUGCGCUGGUCGAGGAAGCUUGCUCCCUGAAGGGGGAGGGGGCUUUGUGCUAGUGAGAAACUUAGAAGGAUAAGAGAGAGGAGGACAGGAAGAUGGGAAAAGGAGAGCCUGGAGAGAGAGCAAAUGUUCCAGGACAAAUCAUUUUGGAAAACAUGGUGCCUGCCAGCCAGCCAGGAAGUUCAUGUUGAGGACCAUUUUCUGUACAGGGUAGCCAUUCACCUUGGCUUUGACAAGGCUGGAAAAGAGACGAUGGAACUGAUGCCCGGGGCCCACAUCAUGCUAAUAUUCUUUAAAAAUGCCCAUUUGACUGUAGAGGUAUGA
rnacentral:lncRNA from 1 species